rnacentral:lncRNA from 1 species
UCGAACCCACCGCGAAUGGUGGUCGGAGCCGCACCCCAAAGAGUCUUGUUGGCUUUCUUCGCGCAGAUCUGGAGGCGUCGCAAGGUAAACCUCUUUUUUUUACCCUUUUUUCUGUAUAAAAAAAAUAAAAUCGAAGGAGCUGAGACAAAGAGAAUAAAUCGCUACCUUUAACCUCUAUUUUUCUUUUUCUCAGAUUGAUAUUGUGAAAAUACUUGUUUCUUUAUUGCUCUUUCGAAAUCCCCCCCUCCGUUACAGUAUAUUCGAUGGCCAUUUAUAGCCCUAAUAAAAUAAUAAACAAUCAAGAAACAAAUCUGUUUGAUAUUCAUUUGAUCUGCAAAUCCUUUUUCUUUCCAUAUGUUGUUGUUUCCUUUCUUGAUGUGCAGGUACGAAGAUCGUGGGAGAUUCGGAGGGCGAGGCUUUGGCUUGCGGCGCGAGUUUCCCCCUGAAACCCUAGGGUUUCCUGAAUCUGUUUUGGGCCACCGUAUUUGGGCCUCAAAAAUCGGGUCUGGAUUUGGGCCCUAUAGGUCCGUUGUAGUUUGGGUUUUUAGACCCGGGCCAAAAUCGGGUAUUACAUACAACAUGGCCAUAUUUAUA